rnacentral:rRNA from 1 species
GUGGGUAAUCUGCCCUGCACUCUGGGAUAAGCCCUGGAAACGGGGUCUAAUACCGGAUAGGACAUUCUGCCGCAUGGGGGGGUGUGUAAAGUUCCGGCGGUGCAGGAUGAGCCCGCGGCCUAUCAGCUUGUUGGUGGGGUGAUGGCCUACCAAGGCGACGACGGGUAGCCGGCCUGAGAGGGUGACCGGCCACACUGGGACUGAGACACGGCCCAGACUCCUACGGGAGGCAGCAGUGGGGAAUCUUGCGCAAUGGGCGAAAGCCUGACGCAGCAACGCCGCGUGGGGGAUGACGGCCUUCGGGUUGUAAACCUCUUUCGACAGGGACGAAGCCUUCGGGUGACGGUACCUGUAGAAGAAGCACCGGCUAACUACGUGCCAGCAGCCGCGGUAAUACGUAGGGUGCGAGCGUUGUCCGGAUUUAUUGGGCGUAAAGAGCUCGUAGGCGGUUUGUCGCGUCGGCCGUGAAAACCUGCAGCUUAACUGUGGGCGUGCGGUCGAUACGGGCAGACUUGAGUUCGGCAGGGGAGACUGGAAUUCCUGGUGUAGCGGUGAAAUGCGCAGAUAUCAGGAGGAACACCGGUGGCGAAGGCGGGUCUCUGGGCCGAUACUGACGCUGAGGAGCGAAAGCGUGGGGAGCGAACAGGAUUAGAUACCCUGGUAGUCCACGCCGUAAACGUUGGGCGCUAGGUGUGGGGACCGGUUCCACGGUUUCUGUGCCGUAA